UUUUGUAUAAUGGGUCAGCGACUUAUAUUCUGUAGCAAGGUUAACCGAAUAGGGGAGCCGAAGGGAAACCGAGUCUUAACCGGGCGUUAAGUUGCAGGGUAUAGACCCGAAACCCGGUGAUCUAGCCAUGGGCAGGUUGAAGGUUGGGUAACACUAACUGGAGGACCGAACCGACUAAUGUUGAAAAAUUAGCGGAUGACUUGUGGCUGGGGGUGAAAGGCCAAUCAAACCGGGAGAUAGCUGGUUCUCCCCGAAAGCUAUUUAGGUAGCGCCUCGUGAAUUCAUCUCCGGGGGUAGAGCACUGUUUCGGCAAGGGGGUCAUCCCGACUUACCAACCCGAUGCAAACUGCGAAUACCGGAGAAUGUUAUCACGGGAGACACACGGCGGGUGCUAACGUCCGUCGUGAAGAGGGAAACAACCCAGACCGCCAGCUAAGGUCCCAAAGUCAUGGUUAAGUGGGAAACGAUGUGGGAAGGCCCAGACAGCCAGGAUGUUGGCUUAGAAGCAGCCAUCAUUUAAAGAAAGCGUAAUAGCUCACUGGUCGAGUCGGCCUGCGCGGAAGAUGUAACGGGGCUAAACCAUGCACCGAAGCUGCGGCAGCGACACUGUGUGUUGUUGGGUAGGGGAGCGUUCUGUAAGCCUGUGAAGGUGUGCUGUGAGGCAUGCUGGAGGUAUCAGAAGUGCGAAUGCUGACAUAAGUAACGAUAAAGCGGGUGAAAAGCCCGCUCGCCGGAAGACCAAGGGUUCCUGUCCAACGUUAAUCGGGGCAGGGUGAGUCGACCCCUAAGGCGAGGCCGAAAGGCGUAGUCGAUGGGAAACAGGUUAAUAUUCCUGUACUUGGUGUUACUGCGAAGGGGGGACGGAGAAGGCUAUGUUGGCCGGGCGACGGUUGUCCCGGUUUAAGCGUGUAGGCUGGUUUUCCAGGCAAAUCCGGAAAAUCAAGGCUGAGGCGUGAUGACGAGGCACUACGGUGCUGAAGCAACAAAUGCCCUGCUUCCAGGAAAAGCCUCUAAGCAUCAGGUAACAUCAAAUCGUACCCCAAACCGACACAGGUGGUCAGGUAGAGAAUACCAAGGCGCUUGAGAGAACUCGGGUGAAGGAACUAGGCAAAAUGGUGCCGUAACUUCGGGAGAAGGCACGCUGAUAUGUAGGUGAAGUCCCUCGCGGAUGGAGCUGAAAUCAGUCGAAGAUACCAGCUGGCUGCAACUGUUUAUUAAAAACACAGCACUGUGCAAACACGAAAGUGGACGUAUACGGUGUGACGCCUGCCCGGUGCCGGAAGGUUAAUUGAUGGGGUCAGCGCAAGCGAAGCUCUUGAUCGAAGCCCCGGUAAACGGCGGCCGUAACUAUAACGGUCCUAAGGUAGCGAAAUUCCUUGUCGGGUAAGUUCCGACCUGCACGAAUGGCGUAAUGAUGGCCAGGCUGUCUCCACCCGAGACUCAGUGAAAUUGAACUCGCUGUGAAGAUGCAGUGUACCCGCGGCAAGACGGAAAGACCCCGUGAACCUUUACUAUAGCUUGACACUGAACAUUGAGCCUUGAUGUGUAGGAU
rnacentral:rRNA from 1 species